rnacentral:snRNA from 13 species
GGAAGUGGCACAGCUGAACAUUGAUCGCUCACUAUUCUAUUAUUAAGCAGAUCUGCUCAGUGUCUCCCCCACGUGGUUUCUAGUAGUCAAGCCGCAGUCCCGACGACAAAUUGGACUCUCGGUCGAUUGUAGCCUUCGGCUCCUCGAAAUCCACGUCUUUCCAAAUUGAAGCAUCUGACGUUGCUUAGGUUCAAAGCACUUCCAUAUUUCGGCACUACAGAUCAGUAGUUCGCCAUUUCUUUUG